GCCGGCGCGCAGCCCGACCACGAGACCACCGUGCACAUUGUAGGACCCUUCUAUAGCGUGCAGUCUGCGCAGCGGCGCAUUCGAGACAUGGUGGCGCAGGCGAUGGCCCCGACACGCCACCGCCGCGCCGCGCAGCCGCCGCCGCCGCAGCAGUAGACGGCCGCCGGUGUAGCCGCCGCCGUCACCCGCCACCGUCGCCACCCGCCACCUGCCACCUGCCACACGCCACAUGCCUCCCGCCCCCCGCCCCCCACCACUUGUCAUUCGCCACUUGCCGCUCGCCACCCGCCGACACGUCUUCACCGUCUCCACCACUUGUCAACAUCGUUAUCCCCUCAUACAGUCGCAAACUAUGGCACAAGUAAACACAUUGGUGGCCCGGUAUAUCGCAUCACAUCGCAUCGUAUCGCAUCGCAUCGCAUCGCAUCGCAUCUCAUCCAAGAUUAUAACUCAGCGACGUUGAACAUGUUGUUGUCUAUUUACCUAAAUUAUAUUAAAUAUAGCGAAUUUUAAUUGUAAAAUGAUAUACUUGUAUUUUACCAUAUUUUAUUGAAUUUUACCACAUUGUAAAGUAUAUUACCAUAUUUACGUAUUUUACCAUAUUUUAUGCCGGAUAACCUUUUAAUAUUAUGACAUGUUGAUAAUUUGAUGAUUAUAUGUAUACUCGCUGUAUAAAUAUUCAUAUACACAAUUUUUAUUUACGAUAUAGUAGAUAUAGCCUGUAUGUGAAUUUUACCGUGAAUAGUAUAUUGUUGGUUGUUGUUUUUGUUGACGUGUCGACAUGCACCUCGACAGGCGAUGCCGCGGCUGGUCUGGCUACUGUACUGCUGUCUGCUGGUAAGCGUCGACGUGUUGUCGUUCAAUGUUUUUGUAUUUCUUUAUCCGUAGCUAGCUUGAUGGUUUGUUGUGGUCGCGACGGCGCCUCGUGUACCACACUCGAGUGUACAAAACGUACACAUAACACGAUUGUGCCAAUUCAGAUGUUUAUCUAGGAGGAAUUAAGAUUAAGUGUUCAUUGUCGAAAUUGAGAAACCUAAAUGUUUAUAAUUGCGAUGAGUUUGUAAUGAAACUGCGCAAUCUUACGUUUUAAUGUUUUCUUGUGGCCCCAUUUCUGAAUUGAAGUGAUUAAAUUAUUAUCCCCUAAACUGAAAAAAUGAAUUAAGCCAGGCACUGACCGAACAUAUGACUAAAUAUUUACCCUUGUUUUAUUUUAUAAUCUCGAAAUAUCUGUUCAUAAAAUCAUACGUCUUGUUACACAUUGAUUGAUUUAUUAGCAUUUGUAAGUUAGUGCUGAUACGAGAGUGAAACUUGUUACACUGAUAAAAAGCAAAGUCUUAGACGUGUGCUUGACAUGUUGCGUAUACGGAGCACAGCACGUCGGACUAUUUUGAUAUACUACAUUGUUUGGGAUGACUCAUUCAGCACUCUGAACCGAUGUGGUUCAGUUAUUAUUUCUAUGUUACGACUGAAUAUCAUUGGUAUCUUCAAUGUCUUCAAUAUGUUUAAAGUUGUUGUUUUUGUCGCUGUUCCCUUGGUAGUAUUUUUCAUUAUUUGUAUUACAAGUUAUUGUGCUUGCACCUCUGUACCUUGAUAUGUUCAUUAGUCUCAUUGCAGUUUGGUCAAUUUGGUGGGUGCGGUAACAAACGCGCGACGGCAAAUGUUUUGUGUUUCGUUUAAAACGCUCCAUAGCAAGCGAUUUGGAGGAAAAUCGUUAAAUGGAAGAGUUUUUCUUGUUGUGACCUGAAAUGGAGCUUAGCAGAUGUCAUUGUUUCGAAUGCGUAACAUUCCAUUCCUGAAUGAGGUUUUGAGACAACUACUUGCUUCUUUGACACACCGAGCCGCUUCGACAUUUGCGUUUUAUUGUAGCUUGUCGUAUGUUUGUCUGUGGAGCCGCCGUCGCUCGGACGAGAGCGCGCGGACAUUCGGACCACAUUGGCGUUGUUGGUCGCAAGUGGCGGAGCGGCGCGGCGUGGCGGCGGCGGAGAGUUAGACCCGCGCCCUGCACCCCGCUCCCCGCAUCCCGCACUCUGUGCACCCCUCGACCCGCCUCGUCGGUGGGGUGCGGGGCGCAGGGCGGACGGCGGGCCUCAUUGUCUGCGAGAGGAAGGGUGUACAUAUAGGAGCGUCGUUGAUUCCUUCCAGUUGUAAGUGAGAGCGAGAGUAUCAAUGUACCUACUAUAAUUUUGAUUGGUAUUAGAAUGCUGAAAUAGUUUUAGUUUUUAUUGUAUCGUUGUGAAGUAGCGUUAAGUUGGGGGUGCGGGCGCCGCGCGGCCCGAGACUGAACUACACCGCCGCCCGGCGCCGCGCCCCCUGGCCCCUGGCCCUGCGCCCUGCGCCCCGCGCCGCGC